rnacentral:rRNA from 1 species
GACGAACCGUGCGAACGUUAUUCGGAAUCAUUGGGCGUAAAGCGCGUGUAGGCGGUCCGGUAAGUCCGCUGUGAAAGUCGGGGGCUCAACCCUCGGAUGCCGGUGGAUACUGUCGGGCUUGAGUACGGAAGAGGCGAGUGGAAUUCCUGGUGUAGCGGUGAAAUGCGCAGAUAUCAGGAGGAACACCGGUGGCGAAGGCGGGUCUCUAGGCCGACACUGACGCUGAGGAGCGAAAGCGUGGGGAGCGAACAGG